GUGCCCUUGAGUGAUUUGAAAAAACAUUUUAAAUUGUUCCCUGAUAUCUACAUAGAGGGUAUGUGGCUUUUUUAUGGCCGAAAAUUGUCCAGAUAUGGUUUUACAGCUCCAUUUAUAACCCCACAAAUAGCCCCUAGAAUGAAAAGGUCUGUUUUUGCCUUAUUUGGAAGGCUCAUGAAUAGUAAUAUGGUGCUCCGCUCUGAUUGGCUGUUUCACUGUUCGGCUCCUUCCAGUAGCUCACACUGAUAGCGAACAAAUCUGUACUGUACGGCGUGAACGAUGGAGAGUUUUGGUAUUCAACCUUAUAUGUUUGAGCCUGUUUCUGACGAAGAUGCAGAUGUAGAGGAACAACCAAUUUUGUUGCGAUUGGCCAUAGACGUUUCUGAGUGGUUUACACCAGCUAAAGUGUGUGUCCACCGCCUCAUUUAGACGCUCAGCUCGUGCCAGAAGGUUGCAGUUAGAUGGAGCACGUCGACUGCGCUGAGAUCUCUGGAUGUGGCGCGUCUUCACGCUCAAGGUGUGCACACGCAGGCUGGUGAAGCCGAGAGGAUUUAUCGAUAGUGAGAGUGAAGCUGUCAUGUCGCGCUGGUGUUUACCACCAGCCCCAUUCUCUGAGCGCAGACCGGGUUUGUUUUGGAAGGGAUCUCUAUCGCAUCCUAAUGAGCUGCAUCCAGCAGAUGGGAGAGACCACACCGCGCUUUCACACACAUGGGACCGGAAAAAUCAACAGACCACCAUCCCUGCGUUACUGCAGGCUGGAAGAACAGCCUCUCAGGGUCACAGUAAUGUCAGGAGCGGAGCAGCACUCGAGUGCUCAUGACAGACAUUCGAUGAAUAAACUGAAAAACAAAAACAUUUUAUUUACCAGUAUUUUGUGUUGUUUUCCAGUCAAUUUAAAAUUAAAUGAUAAACUUUCUCGAAACAAGGCAAACUGAAGCAAAACCAAUUGGAGUCAAUUGUUUUAUUUGUGAUAACAUAACAUAAUCAAACAUACCAAAUUUUUGGCCAGGCUGUCAUACAAAGAAAUUAUGAACACAUGCAAAAAUCAACCAACAAAACAUUAAUAACUCAUUAUGCUGACAGUUUCUGAUAUUUUCAGUGCGUGAGAUUGUCCUGUUUUGUUGUUGGUGGUGUUCUGCUAAUUUGUUCUAUACCGGUAUGCUGGAGGAAUUGCUCUUGAAGCUCCGCCCUCUUCUGGAAAGGGGAACCAGCUCAUUUGCAUUUAAAGGGACACACAAAAAUGACUUGUUUUUGCUCACCCCCCAAUUUUACCAUGCUAUAAUAAAUGAUCUGUGGUGUAUUUUGUGCUGAAACUUCACAUACACAUUCUGGGGACAUCAGAGACUUCUUUUACAUCUUGUAAAAAGGGGCGUAAUAGGUCUCCUUUAAGGAAAGAAUGACAAAAAUACAGAUUCAAAUUCAGUUCAUGGAAUGUGAUCCCGGAAGCAUCACAAAUGACAUCUCUUUAAUCAAAUCUCCUAAUCUCAUAAAUACGAUUAAAUUGAAGUGUGUGCUUUUUCCAGCUUUUUUUUUUUUUUUUUCUGUAUUUACCCCUAUUUUGCCAAAUAAUGUUGUCAGAUAAAUACCUUAAGUUUAGUAUUUUCCUCAUAUUUUGACGGCUUAAUCAAAUUUGUAGGGUCAUUAAACACAAAUAUCCCCUCUGGACAUCAC